rnacentral:rRNA from 1 species
GAUGAACGCUGGCGGCGUGCCUAACACAUGCAAGUCGAGCGAUCUUCUUCGGAAGAGAGCGGCGGACGGGUGAGUAACGCGUGGGUAACCUGCCCUGUACACACGGAUAACAUACCGAAAGGUAUGCUAAUACGGGAUAACAUAAGAAAGUCGCAUGGCUUUCUUAUCAAAGCUUUUGCGGUACAGGAUGGACCCGCGUCUGAUUAGCUAGUUGGUAAGGUAACGGCUUACCAAGGCGACGAUCAGUAGCCGACCUGAGAGGGUGAUCGGCCACAUUGGAACUGAGACACGGUCCAAACUCCUACGGGAGGCAGCAGUGGGGAAUAUUGCACAAUGGGCGAAAGCCUGAUGCAGCAACGCCGCGUGAGCGAUGAAGGCCUUCGGGUCGUAAAGCUCUGUCCUCAAGGAAGAUAAUGACGGUACUUGAGGAGGAAGCCCCGGCUAACUACGUGCCAGCAGCCGCGGUAAUACGUAGGGGGCUAGCGUUAUCCGGAAUUACUGGGCGUAAAGGGUGCGUAGGCGGUCUUUCAAGUCAGAAGUGAAAGGCUACGGCUCAACCGUAGUAAGCUUUUGAAACUGUAAGACUUGAGUGCAGGAGAGGAGAGUGGAAUUCCUAGUGUAGCGGUGAAAUGCGUAGAUAUUAGGAGGAACACCAGUUGCGAAGGCGGCUCUCUGGACUGU